AAUUCGGGUCGAAUCGUUCUAAAGCGGGGCCCAUUAACGAAUCCAAUAAUCAGGACCCAUCGUCUUCAUCAGACCGCACGAAUCUUAAAGCUCCUUCUUCUUUCUUCAAUCCCGUUCGAAUUGCCCAACGAAGAUUUCCCGUUCUGAUAGCGAGGUUUCUCUCUGAGCCAGCUCUACGAAGAAGAGAUUCACUGAUCAAGUUUCGGCGGAGAGAAGUAACAUGAUGAACGCCUUACAGAUUUAGAGCUUUUCCAGAAGUCAUGCUGCUUGGUCUUGAUUGGGAUGCUGGUUUUGGUUUCACUUCAACUUGAUUGGCCAGUGGAGGACCCCUGAAAUGAAAUGGCAUUGCUCGUUCAUGAUACACUAGGCACCCUUCGGAGAAAGAUAUGAGAUACCCAUAUGUUUUCGAUGGAUGCUGAAAGCGGCAGCAUAAAGAUGGAAGGGUGAAAGAUGCAGAUGAGAUUUUCAUGACACACGUGCUCCUAUGUAAAUUUAUACAUUUAUGUCUGUGUUUAUUUGUACAUAUAAGUUUAUAAACACAUUGAAUGGCGUCUUUCUCGUCGUCAUUUAAUUUCUUUGUUUCAUUUGUUUGGAUCCAUAUUUUAUCAAUGUUUUUUUUUGUCGGUAACACUUUUCUUUGUUUCAUUUGGUUCUUUAUUGUUAUUAUUUAUUUAACACAGUCAAAACAUAUGCUGUUGGCUCCUUUCGAGAGCUGUUGUACGACUACUCAU